AAAUACUACUUUGUAAGUAGGAAGCUCUGUUCAACACGACAUAGCACGUAGUUCAGUACUUAAUGUAUGACUUUUAAACUGAACCGACUAGAGACUUUCUUACUGGGAAAAUGUUCGAGCAGUUUUCGAUUACUACGUAGAACUUCAAGGUGUACGGGAACACGAUAGGUUUACAGCUGAUUUUUGAGGAAUAGUUUAAACACUAGGAACCCUAUGUCACGUGUUUAACUAGAGAAGUUAUUACCACCAUCCAUGUAUAUUGAGUCAGCUUCCCGACCGUUUUACAGUCAGUGUAGAACAAGAUUGUAGGUGUUGAGUGAACAAUUAUAUCUAAGGGUUACACGAGAUGAAUCCAGGGAAACGUUGUUCGCAGGUUCUCAAAACCGUCGAUUUCCUCUUGGGAAG
rnacentral:rRNA from 1 species